CGGUAACAGCUCAAAUUUGAAAUCUGACCUUUCCGGGUCCGAGUUGUAAUUUGUAGAGGAUGUUUCGGGUGUGGCCCCGGUCUAAGUUCCUUGGAACAGGACGUCACAGAGGGUGAGAAUCCCGUACGUGCCCGGUGGCCGCCCCCGUGUGAAGCUCCUUCGAC
rnacentral:rRNA from 1 species